GCUGAUAAGGAAGAGAGCAGAUCAUGAGGAAGAAAUGCCAUCAAGCAAGUCCUUGCGUUACGGACCCACCCUUCGCUCGUGGCCAGCUGCUCUGACAUCUUCCGAACCGGUCUCCCUGCCUCUACUCAUCUCCCUGAGACGUAUCCUCAACAGCGACAGAUUUACUGACAAGUCCGAACUGACAAUUACAUCCUCCCACUUGAGAGUCCUAAGGGGAAGGAGGUCCUGCUCUUCCGGGAGAUUUGCUACCAUUUCCUCGGCCUCGCUCUGGGGCAAAGCACCCACCCUCCUCACGAAUCUACGCCCCCAUUAAAGAAUAUCCGCACUUUGUUCCAGGCAAUGUUAUUUGCUUCCUGCUAUGGUCUAGUAAUGGGGAAUUUUAAUUGUGAGUUUCAGUGUGCUCUAAUGAAAAAGAAUGUAAUUCUAUGUUUUUGUUUUGUUCUGUGGUUCUCCUCAGGACCUUGCACUUGCCAAGAAGGAAUUCUACUGAGCUACACCCCAGACCAACAUUUUCUUUCUUGCACUGCUGGGGUAUUGAGAGCUUAUAAUACAUUAUAUAAAAAGUGGCUGAAAAGCCAGGGCAUCUGAAACAGAGCCGUGUCAUGUGUAUGAUAAAUG
rnacentral:lncRNA from 1 species